UACGUAGGGUGCGAGCGUUAAUCGGAAUUACUGGGCGUAAAGCGUGCGCCGGCGGUUUUGUAAGCCAGGUGUUAAAUCCCCGGGCUUAACCUGGGAAUGGCAUUUGGGACUGCAAGGCUCGAGUGCGGCAGAGGAGACUGGAAUUCCUGGUGUAGCAGUGAAAUGCGUAGAUAUCAGGAGGAACACCGAUGGCGAAGGCAGGUCUCUGGGCUGACACUGACGCUCAUGCACGAAAGCGUGGGGAGCAAACAGG
rnacentral:rRNA from 1 species